GUUGUUCGGUGCAGACUCUGGGUCACCUCCCAUCCGUGUCUAUCUGUACCCUGUUGCUUCGGCGUGGCCACGGCCCGCCGGAGACUAACAUUUGAACGCUGUCUGAAGUUUGCAGUCUGAGUUUUUAGUUAAACAAUCGUUAAAACUUUCAACAACGGAUCUCUUGGUUCCGGCAUCGAUGAAGAACGCAGCGAAAUGCGAUAAUUAAUGUGAAUUGCAGAAUUCAGUGAAUCAUCGAGUCUUUGAACGCACAUUGCGCCCCCUGGUAUUCCGGGGGGCAUGCCUGUCCGAGCGUCAUUGCUGCCCUCAAGCACGGCUUGUGUGUUGGGCUUCCGUCCCUGGCAACGGGGACGGGCCCAAAAGGCAGUGGCGGCACCAUGUCUGGUCCUCGAGCGUAUGGGGCUUUGUCACCCGCUCCCGUAGGUCCAGCUGGCAGCUAGCCUCGCAACCAAUCUUUUUAACCAGGUUGACCUCGGAUCAGGUAGGGAUACCCGCUGAACUUAAGCAUAUCAAAAGCGGAGGAAA
rnacentral:rRNA from 1 species